UGGAAAUCUGGUGUGAAACAAGCAUGUUGGCUGUCAGUUGCUAAUUAUACCUUGUGUUUAUGGUCUGCCCUAAAUGUAUGACACCGGCACAGUGUAUUGCUCCAAUACACAGUUUUAGUCGACAUAAUCAUGCUAGUAGAUUCGUCUCAGUAACUCAGAUCUUCACGGGAAGAGAGAGAUGAACUAUUGAAUAAAAUGCGACAAAUGGUGGAGGACACUUGCGAAUUAGAUAUAAGGCAUGAUGAAAUGAUUCGAACUACUAAGAGAAUUGAAAGUAAGAAGAAGAAAGCUACUACAGGAGACUCUUCUGAAGUAGAAUCUUUCAAGGAAUUGUAUGAAAGACUUCUAAAUGAAGAAGCAGCUAACAGACAAAAUCCUAAAAGACAUCAGAUGUAUUCCAGGUUAGAAAAAACCAUUAAGGAUUCUGUGGACA